rnacentral:lncRNA from 1 species
AUGGGUAAUGUGUUUCCAGGUAUCUUGUAUUGUGAUUUAGCUUUUUUUUUUUUUUUUUCGGUUUUUUUUUUUUUGUUUUUUUUUUUUUUUUUUUUUUUUUUUUUUUUUUUUUUUUUUAUUUCUCUUCACAGUAUUUUCCCAUCAGAGCACCAUCCAGUAACAUCUCACCACAAAGAGGGGCAGAGCUGCCUCCUGCCUAGAAGCAGAAGCAUUCUGAUUUUCUCACCGUGUCUCAGCACUGGCUGUUUACAGCGUGUGCUACUUGCUUGCAGAGGGCUUGUGGGGCUGCGCUCCCAUGGAAGAAGACCCACAGAUGAAAGCAAAUCCUUUCUUAUGGCGUAAUGGCUGGUGGUGAUGAGAAGCCGUUCUCAGGUAGGAUGUGGUCAGCCUGGCUCUCUCUGAGGUCAGUAAAGAAGCAGGAAGUGUCACUUCUCUGAAGCAGUCACCUCUGAUAAUGGCUACUAGUGGUGGCUCUGGGGCCUUUCUUAGAAGAACCUCUGGAAAACUAGUAGUUGAUGGACUUUGUGUUGCAAAGUCUGCACUCCCCACAUCUCCCUGUCCAGGCUUGGCUUAGUAAAGACACACACACUGAAAAAGUCUCCUCUCAGACCUGUGCAUAUUGCAUAUUCAGCAUCAGUUUGGUGAACAAAAUUUCCCCAGUGUCAAGAGAAAUCUUAGCACAGAAUGAGUUUAGAGCUUCCUAAGCACCAUAAGAGAACCACAGUAGGUAGCCAAGGUGAGAAAUCUCAUCCUCACAUCUCUCUUACUCAUGCUGUGAAAGUGUUUAUGAUAAACUUGGUUAAAAUACUUUGUGAAAUAUUAACUAGUGGGGAUGCAGCUGCUCCUCCUAAUAGCUUUUGAAUGUGUGUGCCAAAUUCAGCAUUGACAGAGAGAUCAUGGUUUAGUGAUGAAUGUUGUGUGAAGAGGCAGCGUGCAGAAGAGACAGACUUUUAGGGCUCUCAUGGGCACUGAAGGGCUCCAGCUUUACUCCAGGUGCUGUUAAAAACUAGAUAAUUCAUGUAAAUGACAUAGUCAACAAAGACUCAAAGUGUGUGAAAGCUUCAUUUGGAGUUCGUGCUACAGGAACUGCCCUUCAGUCAGUGGCUCUCCUCAUGUGUGAGUUCUCUGAUGUCCAAUACAAGCAGCUUCAGUUUCGCUGAAGCCAGUCACUGGGCACCAGACCAAGAAAACCAGGCUGCACAGUUCUGGGACCUCUGAAAUUACUUGCCUUAUUCUGUGAUGGAUGAGAGUGUGGCAGUCUCUUCUUUCCCAUGAUUAUGUGCCUGAUCAUCUUGUCGCAUUGUGCAAAAGGUAAAACUCCCAUCAUUAUAUAAUGAAAAUGAAUCUCAGGACUUGAUCCUGUAAUUCUUUUUUGAACAUUGAAAUGAUAAUGAAGUCUUUCUCCCUAAUGUUUCAAUACCUCAACUUCAGAAACCCCUCAAAGUGAUUUCUAGCAGGUCACAUCCUAGCAGGAGGAGUUCCAGUCUAGUCUAGUACUAAUGGGUACAGUGCUUUUCAAGUGGAGUUACAGGGGUGGGUGUGUGCAUCAGUGUUUGGCUUCAGAUUUAAAAGUUUAGUAGCAUUUGGACCUAGAUUUUGGCUUGUCCCACUAGAUCCAUGGGAUCCAACAUGAAAUCUGGAGCAAGGCUUUCAAGUGCUCAGGAAGUGACACCUGGGAAUUUGAUGCUAGCUAGAUCUAAGAUGUGCCACUGGUCACAGAAAUGUGCCAGUAAAUGGCCUUUGUUGCUUUUUAGUGCAGGUAUUUCAAGGUCUAGUGGUCACUUUGCAGCAGGCAUGCACAUGGUCUAGAAGCAAGUUCUUUAUUAUAACCUCAUGAUUAUAAUAGACCAAUAGCCUAAAAUGUGUCUUCUAAUCCCAGGAGAAGCCCAACCUAAGUUAACUUUCUGCAGAACCUGACCAAAUGUCAUCAGCUGCUCCUGUGCUCUGUGUAAGCUGUGAUCUAUUUUGGAGCAGUCAGAUAACAUGUUUCUUGCUUUCAUUUUUAGUUCUCUCUGGCUUGCAGCUCAAUAUCAAGCCUCAUUUAAAAAUGCCAUUCUUUUUGUAUGCAUACCAGGGCUUAAUUUCAAUUUCCAGAGAAACCCGGCAGUUAAACUCCUUCUCAAAUAAACAAAGCAUAAGCAGACCCAAGAAAUACCUCUCAUGCCUCCACCCAACUAGCUGACUUCAUUUUCCAUGUCACAAGUUUAAGUAACUAAAAACUCCGCUGACUUUCACAGGUUUUGGACUGGAACCACUACAGAAAUAAAGAAGUCCAUACACAGAUUAAUGUCUUUUGAAAAAAAAUAUUUUUUUCCGUAGAUUGCACAUUCAAAACUUGAGCUGCACACUGCACAGUAUAGAAACAGCAGUUAGCCAAUCCAAUUACCACCAUGUAGAUGGGUUUUGAUUAGUUUGGCUGUAGCCCCAAGGUGUCAAACUCAUUUGGAAGCAUAGACCCGAGGUGUAAUUACAGUCAGUGGCCAAGGCGUCUCUCCUGGGCUGUAAAAACGUUCUCAGUCUGCCCUGGAAAUACCAUGUCAGAGGGCAGAAUGCAGUGGACUUUCAGGGAAAAAAUACUGUUUUACUGUUCCAGUUAGUGGCCGUGGCUGCUCAUUUGCUUAUCAAAUUAUGCAUUAAAUUUAAGUUAUGCCUUCUUUACAGUUCCCAUCUUUCCCCUUAGCUCUCUGCUGAAUGGAUCAAGCAGUGAACUUCAAGCACAAUGCGAUGAAGCAGGGAGCACAGGCCUUUGCAUCAGCACUGGCAGGCUUUCUCUGCAGCCCUGAAGGCUACAAACAAAAUGAAAUCUUGGCUACACAGAAGUUAGUGCAAGUUUUAUCCCAACUCCAAUGCUGCCAGGGAGAGGGAGAGAUUUUAUGCAGGAUGUAGUUGGACCACUGGGCAUCUCUUUUCCAGGUCUUCGGUGCUACAAGGGCAUAGGUGGAGCACUGCAGUACAAACAACACAUGAACACAACUGUAUUUUCAUGAAGGACCCUGUCUGGUGUUACCGUAGGACAGCAGGAUUGCUUCCACUGUUCAAACUGACUGUAGUUUUGAGGACGAGGGUGCAGUGACAGGCUCCUAGCUGGAAAGAGUAACGCUGCUGUCCUUCCCAGAGUUGUGCAUGUUUUUAAGUUUUGUUGUUAAUUGGUGCUUUUUGCCAACAGGCAUACUUUAAUAACAGCUCGAACAAACAAAUAAAUAAAUAAAACAGUAUCUUGUGCUUUGUUAGCGUCUUUCGUCCAGAGUCUUAGAAGCGUUUUGCCAAGCCAAGUGUUACUAUUUCCUGCGAGUCACAGCAGUCCCCAGAGCCUGACUCUGCUUCCUUUUAUAUCAAUAGGAGCAGGGCCAGCCCUCAAGGACUUGCCUGGUGUAACACAGUGAGCCGACGACAGACUGAGCAAACAUAACUCAGGUGCCCUAAUUCCUACUUUUCAUGCUGCCUGCCCUCAACAGCACCAGUUGCUCUGUGAUUCAAAGAGAGCAAGUUCCAUCAAAAUGAAAGAGAUCCCUACUUGCUUCAUUCCCAUUGCUGCUUUUAUGAUGUCUCCAUCCUUGCAGGGCACCAGGGUGUGCUUGGUUUACUGCUGUUGUUGCUGGUCAUUUAACACCUUCUUAAAGCCUUCUGAGAGGUAAGUGAUCUAUGCAUGCAGAACCGCAUGCCUGUGUCAUAUGUCAACCUUCUUCGGGUUUUCUCAUCCCCUGCGUUGUAUGUCAGAGACAUCUGCAAGUAAAUGAGAACCUGGCUCUUCGUGCUGCUUCUCCCCCUUGCCCUGGGUUUGAUACCGUCACUACAACAACCCAGCACGGUGUCAUGGAUGGUGGAGCACAGUGCUGGCGGUGCCCAGGGCCAGAAAAAAAGCAGCAGAAAGUGCCUGGUUUGGAUGUGUGCUUGUAACUGCAACCCAGCAGAGUGAAGGUGGAAAACUGGAACAGAACACUGACUUGAACGCUGUCCAUGGGGCGUAGGUAGGCUUUUCACAUUUCCAGUGCAUUAAUGUCAGAAGGACUCCUUUCCCUAUAAAUGGGAUUGAGUUACAGUUGUAAAAAUACCAUGAUCCUCAUCUAAGAGGAUUCGUAAUGUACACUAUUUUGUGCAUUGACUCCUUCUUGUGCCCUAAAAUAAGCAUAUAACUGUUAGCACCAGUGGACAGAUAAAAGCUGCUCUGCCCAGUAGACAAUGAUAAGAGCUGGGUGAACAUUUUAAGCCACUCGUGCAACCCUUAGGCUGGAAGAGACCUCUGGAGCACACCUUGUCCAGCCUCCUGCUCAAAGCAGACUGAACUGGAUAAGGCUGCUCAGGGUCUCGCUGAGUUUUGAGAAUUUUGAGUUUUUUUCUCCAAUUAUGGAGAUUCCUCAGCCCCUCUAUGCAAUCUGUCCACAGAUUUCCAUUUUACAAUGAUCUGCAAGGCCAGCUUCCACAGAUUUGUUAAUUUUUAUAUCUUAAUGAACAAAUGGGUUGUGCAUGUCAGAUUGUUGAUUGCCUACAAACUUCCUCCUCGAAAGAGGAACUUCUACAGACCUUUAAAAGAGAUGCUUGGAAAUGAGGGGUGAGGAUACUGGGGAGGGGCCACAGUUGCACACAGCAGAAGUGCAACUGUGGUGUUUGUAAACACCUUUAACAGUUUCUGCCCAGCUCUGAUCACAAUGUCUACUCACAAGGUGUUAUGAAGUCUUGACCCAUGCUUUCUUCCCCCCAUGUCUGAUAUCAGCAGCAGGUGAGGCAUGUCCAGGGACACAUGGACCUCUCCAAUACAGCCGUCCGUGCCUUCAUGGCUGUGCAGUGGCUUUGAAAAUGCAAUCCCGUACCUUGAAUCAGCUGAAUAUCACUUGAACCAGAAUCAGCUGGGCUGGUUUUGGUUCUUUGUCAGUAGGCUCUAAUGGUAGCCCAUACGUAGUCUCUAUUGUCUGUUUUUGCAACUAAAAAUAGUGCAGCUGUUGUCAGCUCCAGUUAAGACAAUCAGUAACUCACAGGUUUCACACAAACUUCUUCUGCAGCCCUCUGGGAAAACGUGUGCUUGUGGGGUGGAGGAUGCAAAAGCUCUUUUCCCCCUCUGUACAGAUGAUGGAGGCUGGUCCUUAAAACAUGCCCAGAACAAAAACAUGUUUAAAAAAGUAUGUGAAAUAGCUGCCACAUUUUUGUGCGGUACCCUGCUCCUCCUAAAUAACAAAUUAUUGUUUUGUUUUUUUUGAAGUGUUAAUGCAGAGGAGCUUUCUGAUGCAUUAUGAUGGACAAUUGGUAACAUAUCUCUA